rnacentral:lncRNA from 1 species
CCGGAGUGUGACGGGCGAAGUCGUCCAAGCAGCUGCGAGCCGUCUUCACUGCAGCCCCUAGUAGGAACUGACCCCAGGCUAGCUCUUGACCCGCCCCAGGACUUGACUUUGUCCGAGUUUAGCAGGCUGAGCCUGCCGGUCUCACCUUGGGGAACUCUUAUUUCCUGCUGUGUCCCUCUUGGGUUAUUUGCCUCCAAAACGGACUGGCUGCACAAAAAGAUCCAUUUACACCCAGAGAAACGGAGGCUCAGAGUAGUGCAAUAAAAUGACAUAGCCAGGGGUUGGGGUUGUGGCUCAAUGAUAGAGCGCUUGCUUGACAUGUGUGGCACUGGGUUCGAUUCUCAGCACCGCAUGUAAAUAAAUAAAUUAAAAAAUAAUUAAAAGAUCCAUCGACAACUAAAAUAUAUAUAUUUUUAAAUGCCAUAGACAGACCAAAAGACCUUCCACUGCCUUUCAGCCUCCAGAAUUCUCUGGAUUGCUUGUGUCUGGCCUCAUAUGCCCCAAGAUCCUUCUUUGGAGGGCUCUCUGACAGGGAGUCUGGGGAAAGAAGAAAUGAAAGCAGAGGAAAACAGUAAACUAACCCUACAGAAAGGAGAAGAGGAGACUCCCUUUCCCUGCUCAGAACCUCAUUAGUGAAAACACCAGUUUGUCAUCGUGGUCAAGUGGAAAUUUUAACACAAGACAUUGCUGGAUUCCUAGAUCAAAAAAAAAAAAGACCUAUAACUCCCCGCACUCACAACAACCUUUACAGGAUCCUCUAAGUGAGAAAUUUCCCCUCUUUGGCAGCCAGGUCUGAGGUCAAAGAAGAGAUGGUCCAUGCCAUUCCAUGACUUUAGGAAGCAGAAUGGGACCAGACUCCUAAAUACCACAGUGCUGGGACCAGACAGUAGGAAGAGGCUACUCCCAGAAGUCAACAUCACAUCUUGAAAAACCAGCCUCUACCUCAGAGCAAAGCCUGUCCAAGGAAGGGGACGUGACCCUUGUCCUUGGAAAGACCCACAGAGCACUCCUAGGCAAAUUCCUACCCUGCUGAGCUGUUUAUCUACAAAUAACAGGAAAGAUCUUUGGAGCCAGGUGUCCCUGACUCAGUCAGGCUAGGUGAGGACCCAUACCAACCCCUAGCAACCACCAAUCAGCAUGAGACAGGAAAAUACCUGGGAUGCCAGAUGACCCUCCUAGGAGUAUAUGGGGGUUGAUAACAUGUUGGGAAACCAUGUAGUUCAACACGUACUCCCCUCGUGGCUUAAACUAAUCAGUUCGAACGAAUCCCCCUCUUGUACUAACCAAUCACCCUUACCCAACUUGUUCCCAACAGUGAAUGUGCUUGAAAAACCAGCCUCUACCUCAGAGCAAAGCCUGUCCGAGGAAGGGACAUGGCUUUGUCCUUGGAAAGACCCACAGAGCACCCCUAGGCACAUUCCCACCCUACUAAGUUGUUUAUCUACAAAUAACAGGAGAGAUCUGCUACAACAGGUGUCCCUGACUCAGUCAGGCUAGGUGGGGACCCAUAGCAACCCCCUAGCAGCCACCAAUCAGCAUGAGACAGGGAAAUACCUGGGAUGCCAGAUGACCCUCCAGUAGUUUAUGGUGUUGGGAAACCACAUAGUUCAGCACGAACACCCCUCUUGGCUUAAACCAAUCAGUUCAAAUGAAUCCCCCUCUUGUAGUAACCAAUCAAUCACCCCUACCCAACUUGUUCCCGCCAGUGAAUGUGCUAAUCAUGUUUUAGAGUUGUUAUUUGAUUUUCCCUCGGUGUGUGAUGAUUUGCUAGGAGAUACUAUGAUGUAUGUGGGGGUCCCUCCAAAGAAUGUAUAAAACUGCUGCAAACCCUGGGCUCGGGGCCUCUCAGCAUCACCAGUUGCUGUGUGUGCGCAGAAAACUGAACUAGCUCGCAAUAAAC